GCUGGGCCCAUAACCCAGAGGUCGAUGGAU
rnacentral:piRNA from 5 species